rnacentral:misc_RNA from 1 species
UCUGUUUAUUUCUAGAAAUCACUGGAGACCUUGUACUGCAGAACUUCUGCAGCUGAUUAGAACCUGUAGAAAGAAACAAAGGGUUUGAAAACAGUAUAGUCUUUUUAGCCCAUGGCCGAUUCCUGGGAGAAACUCUAUUUGCCAAAUAUUUAGCAGAGUUUUCUUUCUCCAUUUCUCUCUUCUUUGGGGGUGAAACCUUAAAGUUAAUGCGUGAUCGAGCUCUUUGAAGAGAUGGAGAAGUGGUUUCUGAUCGAAUGGAUUGCAGUUUAUUUUGCUUUUCCUUCUUCCUCUUGGACUUGAGUUCAGUGUUUUCAUGGUUUGGCCUCUGUUUCCUGUCUUGGGUCAUUGGAGUUUUAGGGUCUUCUGGGGGGGUUUUAUUGGUUUUGCAGGCAACUGCUGCGACAAUUUCUCUUGCAAAUUGGCUUGCUUGUAGAAUUUCUCCCACAGUUUCUCCUACUAGCAUAGCUGGUAAUGACAUUCGCUGCCAUUCCCCUGCAUGAUAAAACAUUUUAACUGUUAGGUUGAAACUGGUUCAUGACAAACAUAUUAGCAUUGUUUAUUUACAUUCUUUCAGAACCCAGAAAAGAAAUUUCCUUAUUACAGCCAAACACAGAAAAAAAUUGUUCAAUAUGAUGAGAAAGAGAGAUACCUACUACACUUGCCGGAAACUUGCCCACCGGAGAUUUCCUAGGUGUAGCACUCUUGAUCCUUGAAAUUAGAAAGUAAAAUAAUUAUUAGUGUAAAAAUGAUAAAUCUUUUAACACAAACCUGAACAAAAACCAAAACCCAAAUUCGAUUUUACCUCAAAGAUUCUUGCUUGCACCUGAGACUAGUUCUUAGAUAACCUCUGGUACUUCUAGGACUGAGACUAACCCCAGAUAUCACCUUAUGCCCACCUGCCACUGUGUAUUGGAGCUCUUGCAAUCUAGCCAUGCAUUUAUCCACCUUCACGACUCCAUGGAAAAGUAAACAGACCCAUUAUUUUAAAGAGAAAAAAAGAACGAACAUUUUGAAUGGUACCCUUCAACUGAACCCAUAUUCGAAUUUUGUUGUUCUAAUUUUCUUCCGCUUUCUGAGCAACCAAACAGCCAUGAAAUGGGAAAAUUUUACCUUCUUUACUGUUUCUCUAAUUAGAAUAGGAUUGAGAGGUGCCGCCACUCUCCUCUGCUUUUAUGGGUUUCUUGCUAACAUGAUUGCAAACCACACUAGCUCCAAGUGGGUCUGAGAGUCUCAAAGCUCCCUAUCUUUUCUCUCUAACAAAAAACUCAGACAGAGACUUGAAAAUGUGUCUCAGUCGGGACUACGGUUCACCCCCCUUUAGUUCGACUUCUCUGUGUUCAUAUCUCAGUUUUGUCUUUGAAGCGAAAACUGAAAAAUGAAAUCCCAACCCCUUUUGGAGGAUUGAACUUCGGUGACGGAUCGUCACAUCUAUCUAUCUUCA